UUUUUAACGUUAGCAUUUCUAGGACGCGUUCAUUAAUUUUUAUAUAAAAAUUCAAAAAUCACAGCCACCACCAGUAUGGUCUGGUUUCGUCUUCAAUGAAACUAGAAUAUGAGAGAGAGGAAGAAGAAGAUAACAAAAGGGAAAAUCAGCUUCUUGACUGGACUACUAUGAAGAUUGGCAAUGCAUUUGGAAAGAAGUGGAUAUCAAUGACUAACGAGAAUGGCGUGGCGGAUUUUAUGGUAGAUAACAUUGAUGAAACUUUGGUCUUUAACCAAUCUCAAUGACAUCAUGUAGCUGACCUAUCUGGUGGGAUAAAGUUUUGUUGUUCUUGUUGGAAGGACAAGAUAGUGCGUGGGGUUUUAUCUUGGACUCCCUCAACCACAACAACUACCUUUUGUGGAGAAGGUUAAAUACUAUGAUAUAGCAUCAGAAAAGCGUAUAGAAUUUGAUAGAGCAAUGGCAGAAUUUAACAAUAAAAUGGAAAGUGGGGAGUAGGAUGAAAUUGAUGAGUAAAGCCACCUUAUUUUUCUAUAGUCAUUUUUUCUUUUGAUUCUGUCGUCAUUUUCUCUGGGUUGCAUAUUCUUUUAAGUGUUUGCAUCUAUUGAGAGAUUGGAAUUUAACAUUUAAUUGUUCAAAAGUGGAGGAAAAAAGGGUAAAUAGAUGAUAAAAGUUGGAUGGGAUUCUGUUCUUGAUAUUUAUGUGAUGGCUUCUCAAACUUUAGACCAGGAACUAAAUACUAUGAUGGCAUUUCGAAGUUCUAAUGGGUCUAUAGGUUUAUUCCAACACUUGAAGAUUCUUAAUGCUUUCAGGCAACCUUUUCACAUUACUUCCAUCUAGCCUUAGUUCUUGCAAUUGUGAUAAGACACUGAUGUUGUCGGGUAGUUCAAACAAGUUACUACAACCCUUCCAAUAUAGUAUUUGUAGGGGCCUUAACCCAUCAAACAGGACAUGUAGUUGAUGUUUGUCAAUUACAAAUCCACUAUCCGAAAGCUUCAACUCCUUGAGAGAUAUCAAGCAUGAUAACUCCAUUAAAAGAUGCCCGAGUCUUAAACCCUCCAGAUUGAGCCACUUAAGAUUAUGCGUACGCCCUAUUGAUAUGUUCAAUGUUUGGAUUCCUGUAUUGCUCAAAUCCAAGUUUUCAAUUAAAUCUGAUGACUCUGCAAAUUUCUCCAAACUUGAGCAGCCUUUGACACUGAUCUUCUCUAGAGAUUUUAAAUGCUUCUCACCUUCUACUCUCUCAAGCUUUGGACACCUAUCGAGUAUCAAAGUAACAGGCGUGUCGGAGGAUAAAACAGAAGGAUGAAGACACCGCAAACUUUCACAACCAGAGAGAUUCACCCAUUUAAGUCUUGGUGCUGUUAUGAAUCAAGGUAACUUUCCUAGCUUUCGAGGUCUAGGCACCUCCAGAAUCAAGAGAGGGAAGGGAAAACUCUUGUAUUAUUGCUUUUCUCCAUUAGAUACAUUGUUCUGCUUUAUAUAGACUUUUUCCUGCUACUAACAAUUUCUAAUGGGUCUUGUGGCAUAUUGCCUUGGAGAAAAGGACAAAAACAAAAAAGGAAUCAGCUUCCUAACGGAAUGGUGCCACCUCAGCCAACAAAGGAGAAUUGCUACGUUGCUGCUACGAUGCUGAUUACCACUCCUGCCUGCUAUUUUUCCACAAAAUCCUUGAGGUGCCUUGGACAAAUCUGGAACUUCUUCAAACUGUUUGCAUUCACCAAGCUCAAUUUCCUGUAAAUAGUCAAGUUCCUGUAAAAAAUUCAAAAGGAGAGAGACAUCACAACGGAAAAUCCUCAAAAAAGGAAGAAAAAAAAUGUAAACAUGUGCACAUACCUAUCUUUCUUUACCUGGAUCCCCUGCCAAAGUUGUUUAAGUUUGCUGUGUGGCAUUGGAAUCUCAACAAGAAACUUAGCAAAGAAAGGUGAUGGAGACUGAAAAGGGUAUCCAAUCCACUCAAUGUACCUCAGUUGAUCAGAAAAUGGCUCAAGAGUAGCAGGAAGGUCGAGGAUCUUCUCUACAUGCUUGACGUACUAUCUCCAAAGCCGUUUGUUGCAGCAAGUCAUGCAUUUGUAUUGUUUUGCUUUGUCAAAGCUUUGUCUUUAAGAUCUUUUAUUCUACUAGUUGCCGCAAAACCACAGGCAUCUAAUAUCCUUAUGACAUGAUCUUCCAUUUUUCCUUUUAAAAAAAAAAUACAAUGUCUAGAAAUAUAUUCUUUUGUGGAUCAUCUAAUCCAGUGCAGCUCUCUUUGAACA